CAACCAGCCUCCUCCGGAAACCGCAUCUACAACUCUUACAGGAACAAACAACAAUUUGGGGCAGUAAGCGUAACAAAGGCGUUAUUUAUCCACACUCCACUCUGGCACUAACCUCAUCGGUGGAUUAAUUCCUUGGUGAACUCGGAGCCGACUGUGCCAUCGGGAGGUGGGCCUGGUUUAGGACGUGGGUCACUGACCUGGAAGGGCUGUUCUUCUCCCUCUGGCUGGUUGCCAGUCCUGGCUGUCACGAGGACAAUUUUUAAAAUUCCCCAAGCCACAAACAUUUUCACAGAUGAAGUCAGUGCACUCUUCACUCUUCCCUUUAGUCCUCCCCCCACCCUGUCAACACGUGGGGUGCACAGGGGCUUGCCUGCCGCGAGCACGCUGAAGUCUCCUCGGCAGUGCAAACCAAUGAACGACUUCGUUUACUUCCCUACGUGUCAUAAGCAUCGUGAUGAAAUCCCUUCCCUCUCUAGUAAAGCAACCUUGUCAUUCUGUGAACACAACCAAUGUCUCCAGAAAGAAGAAUUAGUCAAGCACCCUGAGGAUUCACUGCGGGAGUGGAAACCAGGGUGUCCAGUCCCAGGCAGGCCCGAAAUCAUGGCGACUCUGGUGGUGGAAUUUGGCACAACCUGGCUGGCGCAAAUGAAAGAGGUGGCAGGAGGAGAGGAGAAUGUAACCACUGAGCUCAAGAGAACCCACCCUGGGCACCCGUCAGGGGACAGGGACCACGUCCAGUGCUGCUGGGCCCCAAGGGGAAGCUGGACGUCCAGUCCAGACACAUGGCCACUCUGACACCUUUCCUUGUCUCAGAACAGCCAUAGAGCUCUUACUGACUUGGAAAUUCUCCACUUUAAUUAUUUCCAUCUUACCGCAUUAACCAUUUGGCUCAUGAGCAUGUUUUCACUGCUGCUCCUCUUUCGGAAAUACCAUUUUAACAGUGACCUGUAUUCAAAAUCGUGUGCCCGCUACCACUUUGAUCUAGCAGUAAAAGUUUCAAGUUUAUCUCCAAAAGGUACUGCUAAGCUGUGUACACAAUUUGGUAUAUUAUUUUGAAUAAAAUGGUGGUGGCAAGAAAAUGAAAAGAAAAAUGAAAUUCUCGAAACCAGAAUGUGAUUUAGCACCCGCCAGAUCAGAAUAGGUCACACCUGCCUUCCGGUUUUGCUGUUGAAAACAAGUUGGUAUUGGCUUCCUCCCAGUCAAGCUCCACCUCCCCCAGCCCCAGCCCCAGCCCUGGAGGUCUCAGACACCUGCUGGGGUCUCCCAAUCCACAGGAAGGCAGAACCAGGUCCCUAAAAGCCUCUCCACAUCUAAAAAGCACCCAAUUGUGUGAUCCGUUUAAAAUUGCAUUUGGCAAUGCCCCAAAUCAACACAAACCUAAACGUUACCUAAAAUUAGCUUUUCUGUGCAUGCUUCAGGGCCAGAGCCAGGUAAUUGCUCUGUUUUAGGUCCCCGCUCUCAGCAGGCGGUAGCUGUCUGUGCGCUUGUCAACCAGUGCGCUUGGCUACCCGCGCCGUUCACUGUUCACGGUGUAUUUUGCCCAUGAGAGAACUCUCUAGGUUGCAACAAUCUCUCUCUCCUAGCACCUCUGACUUUUUCAGGACUGUGUUCUCUGAAGAGUGAUCUAACACUGAACAUGGUGGCGCACGCCUUUGAUCCCAGUACUGGAGCUGAGGCAGGAGGAUCGCCGUGAGCUUGAGACCAGCCCAGGUUACAGAGUAGGUUCAAGGUCAGCCUAAACUAGACAGUGAGACUGUCUC